rnacentral:rRNA from 1 species
UCGAACGGUAACAGGGAGCUUGCUCCGCUGACGAGUGGCGAACGGGUGAGUAAUGCAUCGGAACGUGCCUAUUUGUGGGGGAUAACGUAGCGAAAGUUACGCUAAUACCGCAUACGCCCUGAGGGGGAAAGCGGGGGAUUCGUAAGAACCUCGCGCAAUUAGAGCGGCCGAUGUCGGAUUAGCUAGUUGGUGAGGUAAAGGCUCACCAAGGCGACGAUCUGUAGCGGGUCUGAGAGGAUGAUCCGCCACACUGGGACUGAGACACGGCCCAGACUCCUACGGGAGGCAGCAGUGGGGAAUUUUGGACAAUGGGGGAAACCCUGAUCCAGCCAUGCCGCGUGAGUGAAGAAGGCCUUCGGGUUGUAAAGCUCUUUCGGCCGGGAAAAAAUUGCACGGAUGAACAGUCUGUGUAGAUGAUGGUACCGGACUAAGAAGCACCGGCUAACUACGUGCCAGCAGCCGCGGUAAUA